UCCUACGGGGGGCAGCAGUGGGGAAUAUUGCACAAUGGGGGAAACCCUGAUGCAGCAACGCCGCGUGAGCGAAGAAGUCAUUCGUGAUGCAAAGCUCUAUCAGCAGGGAAGAAAAUGACGGUACCUGAGUAAGAAGCCCCGGCUAACUACGUGCCAGCAGCCGCGGUAAUACGUAGGGGGCAAGCGUUAUCCGGAUUUACUGGGUGUAAAGGGAGCGUAGACGGCAAGACAAGUCUGAAGUGAAAAUCAAGCGUUUAAGGUUGGAAGUGAUUUGGAAAGUGGGGGGUUAGAGUGUAGGAGGGGUG
rnacentral:rRNA from 1 species